AGUUUGCUUUUGUUUGGAGAUAGUGCUAAUCUUGAUGCAAGAUAGGUGCACAAAUUGCAUGGAACGUACCAUAUGCUUCGAAAUAUAUUUGGAAGCACCCAAUAGCACUCGUAGAUGACGUGUGUCAUAUAGAAUCUCACUUCAGUCUCAUUGGAGAUAGUGUUAGUUUCGGUGCAAGAUAGGUACACGGUUUGUGCCUAAUGCACCAUAGGCUAAGAAACUAUUUUGGACGCACACCAUAGUACUCCUUGGUGAAGAGGCUCAUGUGGAAUCUUGGUUCUGUCUGUUUGGAGAUGGUUCUAUUCUUGAUGCAAGAUUGGUGCACAGUUUGCAUGGAACAUACCAUAUGCUCAGAAAUCAAUUUGGACACACCCGAUGGAACUGUAGAUGCACC
rnacentral:lncRNA from 1 species